rnacentral:rRNA from 1 species
CAUAUAUAAAAUAAUCUCCUGCCCAGUGACAUUUAACGGCCGCGGUAUCCUAACCGUGCAAAGGUAGCAUAAUAAUUUGCCCAUUAAUUGUGGGCUAGCAUGAAAGGGGUAACGAAAUAAGAUCUUUCCCAAUAGAGACUUUAAAAACUACCAUAAAAGUGAAGAGGCUUUUAUUAUAAUAAAGGACAAGAAGACCCUAUAGAGCUUUAUCUUAAAACUACAAUAUCUCAAUAGAUUCGGUUGGGGCGACCCAGGAAAAAUCAUCCUUAAAUUUUACGAUAAAUAAAUCUCAUUACUGAUCCUUAUAAGAUCUCAAAAUCAAGCUACCUUAGGGAUAACAGACUAAUCCUACUAUAAAGUUCAUAUUAACAGUGGGGAUUGGCACCUCGAUGUUGGCUUAAUUCCCUUAUUGGUGCAGAUGUCA